rnacentral:lncRNA from 1 species
UUGCAUCUCAAAUUUAAGCGCAAAUUAUAAUACAGCAUUUUAUAUAAUUAAUUAUUUUGCACUUUGAACUAUUAUAUAUAUUUUUACAUCAAAUUAUAGAUAAUAUUUUAUAUAAAUUAAACUAUUGAUCGUAUGACAUUGAGAAUUUCAAACGCUCGUUUAGGGCUCAAGCUUGCUCGACUUAAAAUUAGGCUCGCUCGAGCUCGAGCUCGAAUUAAUUUCAAAAUGAGAUUGAGCCUAAAUUUAGGCUCAAAAUUAAUUUCAAGCCAAAUUGAGUUGAAGUAAGCUAGCUCGAGCUCGGCUCAUUUCCACCCCUACACAAAGUUUUUUUUUUUUUUUUUUUUUUUUUUUUUUUUUUCUGAGAGAGAGAGAUAGGUAGCACGUAACCUGCUUCGUUUAUUUCAUUUAGAAAUAAACUUAGCUGGAAAUGUGAAUUAACUAGGAUUCGAACUUGGAACUUCGGGUACCAACCACCAAGCCCUUUAUCACUUGCUCUAGGAUGGUCAGUUAGGUGUUUGCAUCUCAAGUUUAAGCUCAAAUUAGGGAUCGAAACCCUAAUUAACCUCGAGGCAUUUGAAUUUCUUAUCUCUAUAUCAUCAAUUUUCUGGCUAUUUGAUGUCUAGCUACAAAACAAACUUUCGAACCAGCAAUUUUUAUACACAGCUGAUUUAGAUACUGCAGAUUAUAUCUAUUAAAAUAUCAAUCACGUAUUGCGUGAGAAAUACGGAUACAGCAGAUGCAUGCAAUAAAAUUUAUGUAGGAUAAUUACAUUUAUAGAUGGUUGGAUUG